rnacentral:rRNA from 1 species
UACGUAGGUGACAAGCGUUGUCCGGAAUUACUGGGCGUAAAGCGCACGUAGGCGGCUUUGUAAGUUAGAGGUGAAAGCCCGGGGCUCAACUCCGGAACUGCCUUUAAGACUGCAUCGCUUGAAUCCAGGAGAGGUGAGUGGAAUUCCGAGUGUAGAGGUGAAAUUCGUAGAUAUUCGGAAGAACACCAGUGGCGAAGGCGGCUCACUGGACUGGUAUUGACGCUGAGGUGCGAAAGCGUGGGGAGCAAACAGG